rnacentral:rRNA from 1 species
GUUGAACGCUGGCGGAAUGCUUUACACAUGCAAGUCGAACGGCAGCACGGGGGCAACCCUGGUGGCGAGUGGCGAACGGGUGAGUAAUACAUCGGAACGUGCCCAGUCGUGGGGGAUAACGUAGCGAAAGCUACGCUAAUACCGCAUACGAUCUACGGAUGAAAGCGGGGGAUCGCAAGACCUCGCGCGAUUGGAGCGGCCGAUGGCAGAUUAGGUAGUUGGUGGGGUAAAGGCUCACCAAGCCUUCGAUCUGUAGCUGGUCUGAGAGGACGACCAGCCACACUGGGACUGAGACACGGCCCAGACUCCUACGGGAGGCAGCAGUGGGGAAUUCUGGACAAUGGGCGAAAGCCUGAUCCAGCCAUUCCGCGUGCAGGAUGAAGGCCCUCGGGUUGUAAACUGCUUUUGUACGGAACGAAACGGCCUUUUCUAAUACAGAGGGCUAAUGACGGUACCGUAAGAAUAAGCACCGGCUAACUACGUGCCAGCAGCCGCGGUAAAGUCG